rnacentral:sRNA from 1 species
CAUUAAACCCGGUAGCAGCGGAAAUCCUUUUUGUUGCAGUAACUUUCAGUAGACCGUCAUGCUGAGGUACGAAGCAGCUGUUUCAUAGCUUGCAGCUCCUUCGUGCCUCCGGAAUAACAGUAAACAAAAAGAUUGCAGCGGAUGACGGGACUGCAG